AGACCCGAAACCCGGUGAUCUAGCCAUGGGCAGGUUGAAGGUUGGGUAACACUAACUGGAGGACCGAACCGACUAAUGUUGAAAAAUUAGCGGAUGACCUGUGGCUGGGGGUGAAAGGCCAAUCAAACCGGGAGAUAGCUGGUUCUCCCCGAAAGCUAUUUAGGUAGCGCCUCGUGAAUUCAUCUCCGGGGGUAGAGCACUGUUUCGGCUAGGGGGCCAUCCCGGCUUACCAACCCGAUGCAAACUGCGAAUACCGGAGAAUGUUAUCACGGGAGACACACGGCGGGUGCUAACGUCCGUCGUGAAGAGGGAAACAACCCAGACCGCCAGCUAAGGUCCCAAAGUCAUGGUUAAGUGGGAAACGAUGUGGGAAGGCCCAGACAGCCAGGAUGUUGGCUUAGAAGCAGCCAUCAUUUAAAGAAAGCGUAAUAGCUCACUGGUCGAGUCGGCCUGCGCGGAAGAUGUAACGGGGCUAAACCAUGCACCGAAGCUGCGGCAGCGAACGUAUCACCCAAGACAACUUUACGGAGUUGACGAUUGACGGAGCGAAGCGACGUCAAAGCGUUCAUUAAAGUCGAGUUGGCUUAGGGAUACGUUCGUUGGGUAGGGGAGCGUUCUGUAAGCCUGUGAAGGUGUGUCGUGAGGCAUGCUGGAGGUAUCAGAAGUGCGAAUGCUGACAUAAGUAACGAUAAAGCGGGUGAAAAGCCCGCUCGCCGGAAGACCAAGGGUUCCUGUCCAACGUUAAUCGGGGCAGGGUGAGUCGACCCCUAAGGCGAGGCCGAAAGGCGUAGUCGAUGGGAAACGGGUUAAUAUUCCCGUACUUGGUGUUACUGCGAAGGGGGGACGGAGAAGGCUAUGUUGGCCGGGCGACGGUUGUCCCGGUUUAAGC
rnacentral:rRNA from 1 species